UACGUAGGGGGCGAGCGUUGUCCGGAUUUAUUGGGCGUAAAGAGCGUGUAGGCGGCCAGGUAGGUCUGCUGUGAAAACUCGAGGCUCAACCUCGAGACGUCGGCGGAAACCAUCUGGCUAGAGUCCGGAAGAGGAGUGUGGAAUUCCUGGUGUAGCGGUGAAAUGCGCAGAUAUCAGGAGGAACACCAAUGGCGAAGGCAGCACUCUGGGACGUGACUGACGCUGAGACGCGAAAGCGUGGGGAGCAAACAGG
rnacentral:rRNA from 1 species